CUAACCCUCUCGGAUGAGGGCGGUCUUGAGCCGCGCCUCCUCCGCUCCCUCAAUCCAACGGCUGGUGGGUGACGUCAUGCCGCAAGGGGAUCUCGAAAUUCGCCGCGCCCGGUCCAGUGUGUUUUGAAGACGUAGCUUUUCGUUUCACACACAAGGACUGGGCGUUGCUGGAUCCUGACCAGAGAGCUCUGCAGGAGGAAGUCAAGGGGGUGAAGUGUGGGAUCCUGGACUCUCUGGACCCUGCAGCUUCUUUUGGCUCCUUGACUCCUCAGGAAGGAUGAAAGAGACAGAUCCUGCAAAGCUAGCGAGGAUGGAAGGAGGAAGAUGGACGGUUGACCUGGUCAGGUUGUCUCCUGCAUCCCUCCCCACAACCUCUGAGCGUUCCCUCCCA